CCUACGGGAGGCAGCAGUGAGGAAUAUUGGUCAAUGGGCGCGAGCCUGAACCAGCCAAGUCGCGUGAAGGAUGACUGCCCUACGGGUUGUAAACUUCUUUUAUAAAGGAAUAAAGUGAGGCACGUGUGCCUUUUUGUAUGUACUUUAUGAAUACGGAUCGGCUAACUCCGUGCCAGCAGCCGCGGUAAUACGGAGGGUCCGAGCGUUAUCCGGAUUUAUUGGGUGUAAAGGGUGCGUAGAUGGGUUGUUAAGUCAGUUGUGAAAGUUUGCGGCUCAACCUGAAAAUUGCAAUUGAUACUGGCAGGCUUGAGUACAGUAGAGGUAGGCGGAAUUCGAGGUGUAGCGGUGAAAUGCGUAGAGAUCUCGAAGAACACCGAUGGCGAAGGCAGCUUACUAGACUGCCACUGACGUUGAGGUGCGAAAGUGUGGGUAGCAAACAGGAUUAGAUACCCUAGUAGUC
rnacentral:rRNA from 1 species